GACGAACGCUGGCGGCGUGCCUAAUACAUGCAAGUUGAGCGCUGAAGGUUGGUACUUGUACCAACUGGAUGAGCAGCGAACGGGUGAGUAACGCGUGGGGAAUCUGCCUUUGAGCGGGGGACAACAUUUGGAAACGAAUGCUAAUACCGCAUAAAAACUUUAAACACAAGUUUUAAGUUUGAAAGAUGCAAUUGCAUCACUCAAAGAUGAUCCCGCGUUGUAUUAGCUAGUUGGUGAGGUAAAGGCUCACCAAGGCGAUGAUACAUAGCCGACCUGAGAGGGUGAUCAGCCACAUUGGGACUGAGACACGGCCCAAACUCCUACGGGAGGCAGCAGGAGUGAUUCUUCGGCAAUGGACGAAAGUCUGACCGAGCAACGCCGCGUGAGUGAAGAAGGUUUUCGGAUCGUAAAACUCUGUUGGUAGAGAAGAACGUUGGUGAGAGUGGAAAGCUCAUCAAGUGACGGUAACUACACAGAAAGGGACGGCUAACUACGUG
rnacentral:rRNA from 1 species